rfam:Fukomys damarensis contig130252, whole genome shotgun sequence.
AGAUACGAGGGCAGUCUGCCUGCAACCCCUCACCCCAUUGAUCACCAGAGUUGAUUGGCUGAUGUGACUGGGUAGGCAGAGGUCCUCUACCUCCCUCACCGCUCCUAUGUGUCCUUCCGGAAGCUGCGCGAUCCAUGGAUGAGGAUGACCGCCCCAUAGAGGGGGAUGGGUUCCUUGGUCAAGGGGAUACAAGUCGCUGUGCUUCCCUGCUAGAAUUUCCAAACAAGCUGUCAAAAAGAAAGGUAUCUACCUUAUAUUAACAAUAAAACUUCUUUUAUUAUUUUGUUUUGUUUGCUUUUUUGAGACAGUUUCA